CCUGCAUGCCCCAAAAGCUGUAAGAAUUCUAAAUCCAGAAUUCUAGUUUUCUUAACCUAUCCUGAAGAAGUACUUGUAUGUCAUAUAAUGCUAAUUAUGGUAGUUUUUAUUAGCAAAACAUUAGUUAAAAGCAAUUGUUAAAAAGAAUGGGUUUGUAGAGUCAUCAAAUAUACAGAGGCAGAAAGCAGAAGGGUGUUUGCUGAGGGCUGAGUUUCCAUUUGAGAUGAAAAAGUUCUGGAGAUGGAGGAUGGUGAUAACGGCACAACAGUAUGAAAAGAGCCAGGAAUAGAAGCCAACAAGGUCUCCUGACCAGCCAUUCAGAAUCCAUCAUUUCAUUUGUUUUCCUCACUUAAGGAAUUACUUAUUGAUGAGAAAACUGAAGCACCGCAGGGUGAUGCACACGUGCUGCUCGCAGCACUACAGCAAGGAGCAGCAGAGCCGGCAUUCAAACCCAGGGGUAGAUGAAACAAGUGCACAUGCAAAUUCUGCAUCUUCUUUAACCUUAGAAGAUCCUGCUGAAGUUAAAACCACAGAACCAUUAAAAUCUCGGAAAAUGAAUUCUACUCUGUGCUUAGGUACAGGUACCUCCUGAGGACAGUAAAUGGAAAUACCACUUCCACCCUCUAUAUCUUAAGAGCUUCUACUAUUAA